CACGUAGGGUGCGAGCGUUGUCCGGAAUUAUUGGGCGUAAAGAGCUCGUAGGCGGUGUGUCGCGUCGGCCGUGAAAACCUGCAGCUUAACUGUGGGCUUGCGGUCGAUACGGGCAUCACUGGAGUUCGGCAGGGGAGACUGGAAUUCCUGGUGUAGCGGUGAAAUGCGCAGAUAUCAGGAAGAACACCCGUGGCGAAGGCGGUUCUCUGGGACGGUACUGACGCUGGAGACGCGAAAGCGUGGGGAGCGAACAGG
rnacentral:rRNA from 1 species